rnacentral:rRNA from 1 species
UACGUAGGGUGCAAGCGUUAAUCGGAAUUACUGGGCGUAAAGCGUACGCAGGCGGCUUUGCAAGACAGGUGUGAAAUCCCCGGGCCUAACCUGGGAACUGCAUUUGUGACUGCAUAGCUAGAGUCUGUCAGAGGGGGGUGGAAUUCCACGUGUAGCAGUGAAAUGCGUAGAGAUGUGGAAGAACACCGAUGGCGAAGGCAGCCCCCUGGGAUGAGACUGACGCUCAUGUACGAAAGCGUGGGGAGCAAACAGGAUUAGAUACCCUGGUAGUCCACGCCCUAAACGAUGUCUACUAGUUGUCGGAGGGUAACUCCUUCGGUAACGCAGCUAACGCGUGAAGUAGACCGCCUGGGGAGUACGGUCGCAAGAUUAAA